AAGUCGUAACAAGGUUUCCGUAGGUGAACCUGCGGAAGGAUCAUUAUCGAAAGCUGUAGGCGUUGGUUGUGCUGGCUCUCCGGAGUAAUGUGCACGCCCGUCUCACUCUCACCUUCAUUCAACUGUGCACUUUUGACGGAUGGGAUAUCUUUCCGCUUCUCAGAAGCGGGUUUGGGGGUCAAGCGUUCACUCGCGUUUUCCCCUGCUUUCCCAUCCGUAACCCCCCACACACACUUUAAAAAAAAUUAACCUAGAAUGUCUGAUUUGAUCCUCAGGAUCUUUAAUCUUUAAUACAACUUUUAACAACGGAUCUCUUGGCUCUC
rnacentral:misc_RNA from 1 species